AAAUAGGGAAGAUGCAAAAAUAAUAUUUAUGAAAAUUUUGUUAUUAAAAUGCUAAAAAAGAAUAAAAGAAGGGCCACAGCAAGGUUUUCAUUUUAUUUAAUGUUGAUUUUUAUCAUAAAUUAUGAAUAAAAAGUUACAUGUAAAGAAACGUAUUUCAAAACACCAAUCAGUGUUUAGUGACGUCACUCUUGCUAUGUCAACUAUUGACAACUUUGAGUUGUGAACAUUUUAAGCGAAAAUUAUUUUGCAUUUAUCGGCUAAAAAUGGAAGCUGGGUUUAUCAAAGCAGAUUCUAGGAAUCUACCAAAAGUUAGCGUAGACAUGGUUGUAACUUUUUUAUGGAAAGUGCGGAGUUUUCGAGUGUAGAAAUAAUAUGGCGAUAACCCAAUCGGCUAUGUUCAAAUCAAAAGAGAUGGAGAAUUAUGUAUAGUAAAAAGUCGAGUUACGCCGGAGCAUGAAAUACGUAAAGAAGGUUAUCGUGUUACAGCCAUUAUAAAUGAAACGCAAAGCUUGGUUCAGUCCUGCCAAUGCGAAGAUUGUACGGCUUCUGAAGGUGGGUGUAAGCAUGCUGCUGCACUAUUGCUAUGGUUACACAGAAGAUCUGAGGAGCCUCCGAUAACAUCCAUAACAUGUUAUUGGAAAAAGACAAAAUUAUCUAUAUGUACUUCUAGAAAAUCAUUUAUAAAAGCGAUACAAUGCUUUUAUAAAUGAAGUUAUGAAUGCUGCAAAGAAAUUCUGGAUAGAUGCUGUGUUUCCAAAAUUAAAAGAUAUUAAUUACAUGUUUUUUCUGUAACCAUUUUGUAGAUAUAUAAAACUUUGUUUUUUAAAUACUUUUUUUUAUUCAAUUUUAAUUAAAGGUGAUUGCAAAUUGACAAGCGCACAACAAAUGAUUAUACUAUAGUCUAAAUGGGGAAUUAGGAAAUGAUAAACACAGGCAUGUGGCUUCAAAAA